CUUCCAUCUCAAGGGCCAUGCCCUGCAGCCGCUCCUCAUCGUCCAGCAGCGCGCUGAGCUCCUGCAGGCUCAGCCCCUCCAGCCGCCCCGCGUCCAGCGCCAUGGCGGCGCGGCCCCGCUCCCGCCGACCGGAAGUGCCUCUACCCUGCCGCCCCGGUCCUGCCGGGCACCGCCCUGGGCGCCCCCUACUGGGGGGGCGGAGCGGCAGCGGGAGGGGAGGGCCGCGCCGCCGCGGGGGGGCGGUGCUCAAAGGGCGGGAAGCGGGGCGGUGUGCCCACACAGACGGGCCCCUCAGCGGCCCUCGCAGCGUGCGUUGUCCGGCUAGAUCUUCGAGGCCCUGGAAGUGACACCUGGGCCCGGUGUCGUGCGGUGCCUCCACGCGGUGCCACAGAGACGCACCGGCAGUCGGUGGGCGCCUGUGUGGCAGCUGUCCAAGGACCAGCAAUUCGUCAUGAUUCGUACAAAUGCGUUGCAAGCAGAGCGCGCCCAGAGGCAGGAAGCCACAGGCAUGAAAAGAGAAACGGGUUUUAUACCUGCAUCUGCAUUCCUUAGGCUCACAGUGAAGCUAGAGCAGGCAGGGCAGACUAAGAUGCAGCUCUGAACCUGAACUGGAAGCACUCUGUCUAUUUGCUUGUGGUAUUUCCAGACCUGUUGAAGACCUAGAAAGCCCAGCCACUGAAAUGCACACAGCUGCAUACUGAGGCAGAGUUUGGUGCACUGGGAGACAAGUUGCUGGAAUAAACACGGCUAUGUUUUUUCCAUCACGCUGUGUUUCAGUUUACAGGGUCACUCAGCCACACACCUUGUCUGUGCAAAGAUACAAAGGUUAAUGUGUGUCUUUGGGGAAUAGCUAAGACUAUAGAUCUACUGUUGAACUUUGUCUUGGAUAAGGUCCUCCAAUGUUUAAAUCAAAUAAAGCUCUG
rnacentral:lncRNA from 1 species